AGCGAACGCUGGCGGCAGGCUUAACACAUGCCAGUCGAGCGGGCACUUCGGUGUCAGCAGCAGACGGGUGAGUAACACGUGGGAACGUACCCUUUGGUUCGGAAUAACGCUGGGAAACUAGCGCUAAUACCGGAUACGCCCUUUUGGGGAAAGGCUUGCUGCCGAAGGAUCGGCCCGCGUCUGAUUAGCUAGUUGGUGGGGUAAUGGCCUACCAAGGCGACGAUCAGUAGCUGGUCUGAGAGGAUGAUCAGCCACACUGGGACUGAGACACGGCCCAGACUCCUACGGGAGGCAGCAGUGGGGAAUAUUGGACAAUGGGCGCAAGCCUGAUCCAGCCAUGCCGCGUGAGUGAUGAAGGCCUUAGGGUUGUAAAGCUCUUUUGUCCGGGACGAUAAUGACGGUACCGGAAGAAUAAGCCCCGGCUAACUUCGUG
rnacentral:rRNA from 1 species